UUUUUGUAUUUAUAUGGUUUUUUUAAAAAAAAGAAAAAAAAAUUAUCCUCCCGCAACCGCCCGCAACCGCAAACGCUAACUGGAACCAGCUUUUGAUUUUAAGAGGUUUGGAGCGGUUUGAAGCGAUUUGUAGCGGUUUGUAUGAUUGUUUCGAAACGCUGUCAACCGCUACCAAUCGCAAAAGCUGCGUUUGCGGGUGAUAGCGGGAAAACCAAUCAAGCUCUAAAAGGAGGAUACUAAGCCCUCUAAAGGUGUACACGUCGGAUUGAAAAAUUAACCAUUCAUAGAGCAGCAUUCGUCCACGUCAUAUAAAAGGGAUUGAGCUAGAAAAGGCACGUUGGCUGGGCUUUGUAAAAAAUAUAAUUUGCCCAUCCUCAGCCCAAAACCUAUUUGUCUCAAACUUGCCUUUCUCUCCCCCUCGACUCUUCCACUUCAUCUUCUCUAAUCUCUGAGUUUUCCGAGUUUCACGUUACUUUAGCCACUUAUGAUCAAUCAGUGAUCUUUAAACUCUUUUUCAAUGUUCCGUUCCACCUCUCUAUGAUUCUUCAUCCUUCAAAUCCAGACGUUUUAUGAUAUUUAUCAACCACUAGCUAUAAAUUUAGGGCCAUACACACGAACCCUCACCUCCCCAACCAAGUUUUUGCAGUUCUUGAUUUUUUACUCCCCUUUUCCGUUCUGGCUAACCUUGAUUUUGUCUUCCUACUUUACUUUCAACAAUCUGCAUCUUUGCCGUUUUCUCAAGAGGUUGUCCACUCAUCCUUUAUUGGGAUUAUUAGGUUUUUAUUCUCUCUUGCAUGUUCAAUUGCCAUUAAUGUCAAUACCAAGAGCUUCUCGCAGAUAAACAUGUAAUUAGUUGACUCCCUUUUGGAUUUUCAGAACUGUUAUCAUUCUCUGCAAGUCAAUCUUUACUUUCCCUUUUUCCGUCACGUUUUAUACCUCUUAUGAGUUUUUGAUAAUCAAUAAACUAAAUAUAUGUAGUAAAACCUAUCAUCUUACUUCGUUGAUUAUUCACAUAAUUAUACUUUUUGUUUUGGUUUUGACUCUAAUGAUUGUUGCUGUUGAUUGAACGUGAUUUUAGUUGUUCUUUCCAGGUUCUGAUUGCAUCACCUCCAAGAAAAAAACUCAGUCAGCUGAUUGCUUCAUGACUUUCCUACGUUGGCUUAUUGAAUCUCAUAUUCAGGAGCUGGAGGAGGAACUGAAGCUUCUCAAGAAUCACUCUCAACCAAAUAUAGUUGGAUGCAGCUGUCCUCACAAAUGGCGUGUAUGGCGACAUAGAUGAUGGUACCAUUACCGAUAGCGAUCUGAAGACAGAAAAACUCACACAUUACAUAGAGCAUCCCCGUCCCAUAGAGCCACCUGCAGAGGCAGCGCCUCCACCACCCCAGCCUCUUAAACUGACAAAGAGGGAGCAGAAGAAACUUCGAACCCAGAGGCGUCUGGCAUAAGAAAAGGAGAAACAGGAGAUGAUCAGACAAGGGUUGCUUGAACCACCAAAAGCAAAGGUGAAAAUGAGCAAUCUGAUGAAGGUUCUUGGGUCUGAAGCAACGCAAGACCCAACCAAGCUUGAGAAGGAGAUCCGCACAGCAGCAGCCAAACGUGAACAGGCUCACACGGACAGGAACGCAGCACGGAAGCUAACACCGGUACACCAACUACUUCUUUGUUUCUUUUAUAACUCUUUCAUUCAAUACCACUGAGAAUUUUUUUUUUUUUAUAACAUGAAACAUGGAAACAAGAACUUGUGAUUGGUUUAUUCGUAGAAAUCUGUGUUUUUGUGGACUUAUGGUCCAUCAGAGAGAGAGAGAGAGAGAGAAGGUUUUUCUUUGUGAGAAGGUUCUUCUCAUGGGAGAUGGGAGAACGAGCUUUUGGAUGGAGAAGAGACGCUGGAAGAAAUAUUGGAUCUUAUCAGUGAGGAAGCUGGAGCAUUGGCCACAGCUGAGGGAACCAAGAGCUUGAACUCAAGUUUCAUCUAAACUAAUGCUCUUCAGGAAUUUUUAAAGCUUAGUCGGUUGUGGUUGUGGUUGUUAAAGACAAGAGUGAUGGCUAGAAGGCUAAGGAAGAAGAUGAAGAUCAAUUGAAAAGUGGGUGGUUGGGUAAAUGAGGAGACCGCAAUAGUCUAAGAAGGUUGUGAUUGAACAUUUGAGGUCUCAUAAGGGAAGUAACUAUAAAAUGAUUUUCACCUCCUCGAUUAUUUGUCGAUGCUGGAGGGGUUGUGAUUAACAGAGUUUUCUUUGGUGGUGGACAAAAGAAAAAUAUUAAAAGAGAUUUUGUUUGAUACACUAAGCGUUUAGAUUCGAGACUCCCCUUAUAUAGAGUAAAAUUUAGGA